AAUUUAUUUUGCUCAGAUACCGGGUGCGGACAGCCGGGUGGCGGGUACGGAAGAACAGAUUAGUGCUCUCUCACCACACUCACGGCAGCACGGCAGCCGAAAUAGCUCAGUUGGGAGAGCGUUAGACUGAAGAUCUAAAGGUCCCUGGUUCGAUCCCGGGUUUCGGCAGAAGCUUUUUGUUUUCGGCAGAAGUUUUUGUGGGUUUUUUUUUUUUUUUUUCUUUUACCCUCAAGCCGGUUCCUUUUGCUGCGGAGCGGAGAGGGCGGGGGCUGCUGUCCCUCCAUCGGGCGGCUGAGCCGGUGCCAACGCAGGCGCUCCCGUGUGCGGCACCUUGUGUCAGGAGCCUCUUCCCGAAGGACGGCGGCGGUGGAGCGAGUCCUGCGGGCAUGACCUGGCCUGAGAGGGGCCGUUUCCCACCCGUCCUCGUUAGUAUAGUGGCCUUUGUGAACACACACGGCUUUUGUGUCCCACUGUGCACAGGAGCACCAAAAAGAAGGACAAAACACCAAACACCAAAAUGCAGAGGGGACAGUGGCCUCUCAUCCCAGGCUGACACUGCCACACAGAGCUCAGGGGCUCUGCUCCACAUUCCCAGAGCCGAAGGGGAAGGACAGAAGCCAGGACACCAGAGCUGACUGCACUCCUGGCGGUGACACUGCUUGGGAAGAGCUCUCAGGGAAACAACCACACUGCUUUGAUCUCCUCUGGCUGGCUGGGGAGUCUCUGUGGGGCUGGGAGGGCUCAGAGCUACAAGAAACAACCACCCUGCUUUGAUCUCCUCUGGCUGGCUGGGGAAUCUCUGUGGGGCUGGGAGGGCUCAGAGCUACAGCCCAGCUGAGAGGUUUAGUCCAGAGAAACCAAAGCCCACGCAGAGCCUGAGGCAGCUCUGAUACCACAGCUCAGUGGCAGCUGUUCUGUCUCACUGCCUGGUUAGAACAGCAGCAGGAGCUGACUGCUGACAAAUGCAAAGUGACACUUCCUGCCACUGCGGCUGAAAAGCUCCUUGUGCUAUUUAUUUACUCAUCUUACUUCCAGUUGUUAUUUUGAGCCAAUGUUUGGCUACAGCGCUGCUAAGUGUGAAGAUCCCUGUUGUAAAUUACUCCCUGGCUGCAUUUCUGGAAUGUGCCCUGCAUGCGAAUGUAACAGACAAUUUGUAGUAAAACACUUUUUGUCACAAAAUACUUCUCCGUGCGUCUUUUUGAUCAUUUUCUGACCAGUCCUAAGUACUCACCUUGUAACUAAAAGAACAAGCUUAGCAUUAUUGUUCACUUUCUGCUGAGGAAAGACCUAAACCUGGAAGGCUUCUCCAAUUUUUGCUGUUUCUAUACUCC
rnacentral:lncRNA from 12 species